GCAACAGCUGUUCAUCUCCGAGACAGUCGGUAGCUGACAUCAUGACGCCGUGUACGUGCAUAGUUCUCAUAUUCAUGACUGCAUGCGCUGCAGCGGCAACGGAAAAACCAGUGUCCCCCGUGUACUUUUUGUUCCCAUGGCCCGCACACAAAUGUCCUGCUGGAAGCCAGAAUUUCGACAAGUGCGCAGUGAACGGCCAACACUGCCCCAAUAGCGUUGGUUACUGCUGCCACGGCGUAUGCCUCUGCCUACGGUCAAGCAUCAUCAUGUGCCCUCGCCUACAUAAACCACGAUACCUCAUCGGCAUGCACUGAAUCAUGGCAAUUGGGGCCUACGUAUUUGCGCAGAAUAAUAUUCACUUUGUGGCCUCAUAACGUUAGAAGGUGAGACCAGAUCCCCUCCACAAAUGCAAUAUGAAGUGAAAUGAAUGCAAAUAAAAUUUUGCUUAUAGGC